CCAGCACUCCAGAGUCUUACCUGGCGGCCCGGCCCCUGGCGGAGUGGCUGGGGCGCAGCCCAGGACAACCUGGCACCCUGGCGGGACACACUACACCCUCCGGCCCGCGCUGAGGCGAGCCGCGCAGAAGGGCCCACAGGGGACAGCGGAGGAAGCCGGAAACCUGCACCCCUCUACCGAUCUCUGGGAGGAAUUCCCAGCCGGUGAUGCCCACUUGCCCCUACCCAGGGCUAGAAAGGACAAAGCUGCAGGGCUGGGGCCCAAUGGAGUCAAGUGACAUCCGAAAGGGGGCUGGAGCCGGCUGGAAUGUGGGGCCUGCAGCCGGGAUGCUUAGGGGCCAGAGAGGGAAAUCCCAGCCGCCUAGGGGCCCUCUGCCCGGCGCCAGGAGCCAGCGGAGCCUGCCCAGCCACCCUGGCUCCUCGAGCUCACGUCCUCACACCGUGGCCAAUCCCAAGAGCAACAGGCCUCCUGGAACCCAAGUCCCUCCGCUGCCCCCAGGGUUUUCUUCUGCAUCCUGGGGAGAAUCGGAAGCUUCAGCUGGCUCCCCCAGAGUCCCCCAGCAAGAGCUUCUUCCAUAGCUCCAGGCCACAGGAAGUACCUGGGGACAGAGGGCACCCCUGUCCCGGAGCAGCCCUCAUCUGUUAAACCACACUGUCAAACAACACACUCCACUCCUUAGUCUGGAACUACGAUCCCCAGAGUCCCCAGAGCCGCCUGAUUGGAGUGGGAUGGAAUUCUGACAUCUGUGUCUCACAAAGGCGUCAUCAGCGCAGGGGAGGAAGCCACACACCAAAUGGCAAAGGAUCAGCCUCCCAUCUGGUUUCCCUGGCCCUUGCUGUCCCCCACCCAGCUCCUUCCGGCCAGGUAGUCUGAGUGGCAGCGGCAUGGCACCUGUUGCGUGCCAACCUGGCUGGUAGAGCAGCCCCUGGUGUCCCUGACCUUGGCACCUUGGCAGCCUGCUGGUGGUUACUUGGCCCUGAGUUUCCCUCUUCUUACUCUGCCAGCCGUAAUCAUUACGACUGUGCAGGGCAGGGCUCCGACCCCAGACCACAGCCGAGAGACAUGCACACCUGCCUCUCGGGCCCAGGGUCACCUCUGAGAGCAGGCGUGUGCAUUAACCCCAUUGCACAGGACAGGCUGGCUGCAGUGCAGACGGAGCCGGAGGCUGUGGGAGCCAGGUGCUCUUUUGUGCUGGAGAGGGCUUCACAGAAAGCUCAGAUCAGGUCUGCAGGCUGUGAAGCAAGAACAAGGCCUAUCGGAAAAUCAUCAGCCCGGAAAACCAGAGCUCAGACCUGUCAGGCCCCAUCAGCCUCUCCUGGGCAGCGGAGAACAGUGAGGGGGAAGCAGCCGGACAGCGCCAUCACCAUGGGUGGGGACGGCGGGUGAUGCCAAGAUACACCUCCUGCACCACUCAACUGGACCUUAGGGAAGCUGCCUGCAAGGACUCAUCCCCACCUCAGGGAUACACUGAUGAGGUGGUCCAUAGUAGCCCUCUGAGGCCCCCACCCCAUGCAUCAAAGAAAGCACUGCACCACCAUGGGCUUGUCUGCGGAGAGCCAUGUUCCCAUCAUGCCUUGGGAAUGCUUAGGUCUCUCGGAGGUCAAUGAGAGACCAUAACCCGUGCAAGGAUGCCCAAGGCACUGCCACGAAGAAGUUUGUUUGGCGCAGGGGAGGGAUCAUCUCAUGGACAGAGAGUGACCCCAAGGGGAGGGAGUCCUGGGCUUAUAGCCUGAAAACCACAGCCGGAGGCGUGGGCCCGAAGGCCAGAGCAGCCGUCCAGGGGGCACAAUAGGUACAUUCUGGGGUGGAGUUGUGAAAACCAGGAACAUCUCAGUGGGCCUGUAGUUCUUGGGAAAGAACGCAGAUGUCUUUGUGGUCGGUGCUGCCAACUGUCUUUGUGGCUAGAUUUUGCUUUUCUGCUUCUGGGAAAACUUGUGUGGGCAGCCGAGCUGCAGCCUCUAGCAGGCUGCACCCUGGGCCCCUCUUCCCUUCACCCAGAAGCUCAGGGGCCCUUUCCGCUUCAGCCUUUUGUUUUAAAGGAUGGAGGGAGUGAGAGUGGUCUCCUAGGGCAGGUGGAGUGUGAACUGCAUAUCGGGGAUGCAAGGGAUGCAGUGCUCCCCAAAGGAGCACUGGGGAAAGCCAGGUGGAGGACCAGCGACCCCUGCUGGGGCCCUUCCUAACCACGCAUUGCCCUUUGCCCUCCAUCACCAAGAACCAUGGAAUAGUCAGGGAAGUCCUAUGCCCAUCCCAAGAACCCAUCACUCAGGACUGAUCUGAGGGCUGCUUGGCUGUGAGAGGGGUUUUCUUAAGGUUGGAGAGGUGCAUCCAGGCUGAUUUGCCUAGAAGUUUGGCUGCAAUAGGGGCGCUCAACCCCCCAGGGUGUGGUCUGGUCCACUUGGGCUUUAAUGGCGAUGGGUGAGAUCUGGCACUCACACCUGGUCUGCGGGUUGGACCUGUAAGGAGACUGGGGAGUCAGUCGGCUGGGGCAGGCAUGGUUGGCAUGGGCUCGCAGCAGGUUACACAAGGGAGAGAGUAAGGGGAGGUGGCUGCCAAGUGGGUGAGUUGGUCCAUGGGGCAAUUGUGAGAGCACAAAGGGGCGUCCAUACACAAGCUCAAAAGGAUCAGAUGGGUGGAUUUGGGGGUGGGGAGAGCCCUUAGUCGGAUGAGGGCCAUAGGGCGGCAGAUAGGCCAUGACUGGUGAGUUUCCAGCCCCAAUUUUGUAAGGUGGGCCUUUAGGAGAUGGUUGGCCUUUUCCGCUUCGCCUGAGACUGGGGAUGAUAGGGCAGGUGUAGUGCUUGUUUUAUAUUGAGGGCCUCAGCCAUGAGCUGAGUGACUCUGGAGACAAACGCUGAUCUGUGGUCAGGCUGGAGGGAGGAUGGAAGGCCACAGCUGGGUGAGGGUCUGGCUCACACCCUCUGCUGUCUCGUGGGUAGGGGUGGGGGGAAGCCUUUGAUCCAUCCAGAAAAGGUGUCUAUUAGGGUUAAAAGAUAUUUAAACAUUUUAUGUCUAGACAUGCGCAUGAAGUCUGUUCAGUCCUGUCCCAGCAGGCCUCCUCCAAACUAGUUAAAAGAGGACAGGGGUGUCAAAGAGCCACCAGGACUUACAGGGGACAGGUUCCCCGUGAGGCAGAUGUGUCCCGUGGGCUUCGGUUAGCCCUCAUAGUGGACGAUAGGUCCGAGGCGCUGUUUUAGGGGCCGCCACCAGUGUGUAGGGAGUUGUGUGGGUCUAGGAGGAACUUGAAGGCAGCAGAGACUCUGGAGCAGCAGCCAGCCCUGGGCCCCGGCGGGCUCUCUGUCGGGUUAGGGUAGAGCCUGGGAGGGCCCUGGACUGGGGUCUGGUCACCGUGAGGUGGCUCGCGGAAGAGCUGCUGUAGCCACAGCCUGCCCAGGACCAAGAGCUGCUGCUUUUCGCUGUGGUGUCAGCUGAGUUGUUUCCUGUGUUUAUACAGCAGCCAGCCUUGGUGACUUUUACAGUGUAGAUCAGCCACGUGAGAUGCUAGGGAUGUGCCUGUGAUGGCUUUUUUAUUAAGGGCCCAUUUUGACCUGAGGAGCCCUGAGCAGUGAGGGACCCCAUUCAUCCCGAUGGAGGGACGGAGAUGAACUAUGCGAUCCGAGUAUUUGGAAUCAGCGUAGAUGUUUAUCGCUUGUUCUUUGGCCUGGUGGGAACACCGGUGAGGGCAGUGAGCUCUGCCUUUUGGGAAGUGGUCCCUGGGGGUGAGGGCCGGCCUCAGUGACACAUCCCAGGGGGACUGCAGCAUAUCCCGCCCCUGUCUGUCCUGCAGAGAUCUGGGUCCCGCUACCGUCUGUGAACCAGGUGUACUGUGGCGGGGGAGCACUGGUGACAGGCAGGGGGAAGGUCGUCGAGGGCACUGCAGCAGUGUGCUGGUGAACAAUCAAAGCAGGCGAAAGGGCAGCAGGGUUGAGUGGCCCGCAGGUGGCCAGGGAAACUUGGGGCUUUCCCACAAAGUCAGAUGAAAUAAUCGGAGUGGGGAAGGAGGGAGGAGAUGGGACGCCCCACGUGCUACCUCUGUGUGAGUCCGUAUUAACAGUACUCAGUGAUGGUGCCUUUGAGUGCGAGCUUCCGAGCCUCUAUCUGCUGCCAGCGCCCGGAGGCAAGGGGACCAUCUGCACACUGUGGGGUCCGGUUGUCUGACUGUAUGCCACAGCUGCUUCAGUGGGGCCUUGGCAUGGGCAAAGGAUCCCGUAUGGCUGUGCCACAGUUCUCAGUGACUGAGGGCAAAGAGCAACACGUGGUUAGGAAGGGCCACGGCAGGAGCACACAGGAGGGCUUGUUGCAGGGUUAGAAAGGCUCGGGUGAUCGCACAGGUGGGGUCAAGUGGCUCCUCCGGGGGCCGUGAGCUGCCUCAUACAGGGGUUUAGCCAAGAGCAUGAGUUUUGGGACUGGGACUCAUAGGCGAAAAUAGCCAAGGAGGCCCCAAAAGGAUAGGAGUUGUUGUUUGGUCAUUGGUUCAGGCAUUUGUCGAAUUGCAUGGUGCCGGUCAAUGGUCAAACCCCGUGUUGUGGGUGUCAGCAAGAACCCUAAGUAUGCGUCUGACUGGUGGAUAACUGAGUUUUAUGGUGAGAAGUGCGGUAGCCCCUGUUGCAGGGGAAGUUUAGGAGCAGCGUGGUCUGCUGAUGAGAAGGCUGUGAGCUAACAGACCAUCGAUGUGCUGGGGCAGGAAGCUGGGGGUUAACUGGAGUGCUGAGGUCAGAGGCCAGGGCCUGACUAGAGCACUGUGGGCCUCCCUGAAGCCUGGGGGAGGCUGUCCAGGUCAGGUGGGACAUAGGGUCCUCCCAAGUGAAGGCAAACAGGGGCCUAGAGUCUGGGUACCAGGGAACAGUGAAGAAGGCGUCUUUGAGAUCCACAGUAAAGAGGGUGGUUGAAGGGGGAAUGGGGCUCAGCAGGGCGUGGGACUGGGGACCCCGGGGUGACCGUACAUACGGCUGAAUUAGUGAUGCGGAGGUCUUGCAUAGCCUGGAGUCCUGCUAUGCUUCUCCAGGAGGGGCGGGCAUGCGGCAGGUGAGUCCGUGGGUGUGAGGCCUUUGCCUCCGUAGCCUCUCUGUGCCGGGCUUGCUGCCCCCCCCCCCGGUGUGGGUGGGAAACGUGAAGUUGGGGUAUGUGAGUGGGUCUUGAGGGCAACUCUGACAGGAGGAUGAUGUGUGGCUAUUGUGGGGCUGCUAGUGUCCCACGUGAGGGUUUUCGUGUCUAAAAGGGAAUCGGGGAUCUCUUGGAGGGACCCGGAGAGGAGAAGGAGUGGUGACAUCACCACCCAAGAAGGUGAGGAAGCACUCAGUGCUCGUGAGAUAGGGCAGCUUGUAGCUUGUGCAGGGCGUCCCUGCCCAGGAGGGGCGCUGGGCAGUUAGGUAAGGUCAGGAAGGGAGUGGAAAGAGCUGGUCUUCAAGCAUGUCAGGGGUGGUGGGGGGCCAUGGGAAACGGCCUUUAAGGUUUGCUCUCAACCUCACAACAGUGAUCCCGUGGUAUGAAGGAAGGAGUAACCAGGAAGCCCCGUGUCUAGGAGAAAGAAUCUGACUCACCCCCCGCCACCGAACAGUUACCCUGGGCCCCCGGGAGCUCACCUGAACCGUGGUGAGGUCAGGCGUCCGUGCACAUGAACCGGGAGCCUUCAGUCCCUGUCCGCCAGGCCGAGGAGCCCGGCUAGUGCAGCUUGUCGCAGUAGAUUAGUUUUGGGGGUACAGGGCUCAUCCCUCUUUGAGGAAGGGCAGUCCAUCCCCCAGUGACUCAGCUCAUUGCAUUUAGGGCACAGACCUGGCAGGCGGAGGUGGACUGGGGUUUGGGUUUUCUCGAGCCCAGUGACCCGUAUUCCCACGUUUAAAGCAGGCCCCAGAGGGCACCUGCUGGGGUUAGCCUGGUUAGCAGGAUCCUCAGGGGGUGUAGGGCCGCUGCCAGGAGUUGAUAUUUUUGUUUGGCACAGCAAGCUUAUCUUUUUGCUCCUGUUCACCCCUCCGACUGAAAACCUUGAAGGCCAGAUUAAUCAGGUCACUGUAUGGGGUAUCUGAGCCCACCUCUAGACUGACUUAUGACAUGGUUAUUUAGGGCCAACUGCCCCUCUCUAGAAGUUGUGUCCACCCUAGGAAAUUUGGUUAGAGCCUCAGUGAGGCGGGACAUCACAGCAGGAUUCCCGUCAGGCCUUUGCCUGUCCUCCUUGAGUGUUUCCCCUGCUCCUGGGGGAACAGUUGGGUCAUGUAACGCUUCUCUUCUGGGUGGGCUUGCGUACCCAGGCAAAUAGCUUCUUUUUCCUCUGCAGUGAGGGCAGAGGAAAGGAAACAGAGGUAGCAGUCCAUGUUAGCUGGUAAGUCUGGGUUAGGUAUUUGAAUUCUUUGAUGUAGGUGGUGGGGUUUUCUGUGAAGGACCUGGGUCACUUUUCAAUUUGGCAUAAAUCCGAAAGCUACCGAGGGUUGUGUACGUUGACUAAACCUUCCACUCAGGCCACCUGUCUAAGAGGGGUCUGGGGCAGGUCAUGAGAGCGAGUGUGGCCAACGGGGAGACGGCAUAGAUGGGGAUCACAGUGUGGGGGCGCCGGAGGUGCCGAAGGAGAGGCUGGGGAUGGUGAAUGUGGGGUUGUGGAUGAGGCUUCUCUCGGGAAGACCUCUGAUGGGGAGGGGACCUCUCGUACUGGAACCGCAGAUGGAGAUGGGGACCAGGAGCCAGCCACGCGGUCUACGAGGGCGUCGCGUAUAUAGGGGAAGGGGGUCAUCCGAUUGGGAAGGGAAAGAGCAGGGAUGGAAAAUCUGGGCCUCAGGGUCCUGAUCAGGAGGAGGCUUGGGGAAAGCUUUAGCGAGGAGAAUUUGGGUGAGGUCACAGGACACACAAAGUUGAAGCUGAUUGUGCAGUGUGGAAAACACACAGGGAACUUCAGACCCGUUCCCGUUGGUCCGGCCAAAGUUAGCUAAAUCCCUUAGAAUAUCAAAGUCUGGUGCGCCCCCUGGCGGCCAAACUGAGCCAUUAUCUAGGCGGUACUGGGGCCACGCAGUCUGGCCAAGUUUAGGCAGUUAGGUUCCAAUUCCGCCCAAGGGCUUCAAGGCAGUCCAACACUGAGACCCCAGCAACCAGGGUAGGCGGCAACCAGUCCUGCCUGCAGGGGUCCGAGACUGCAGGGGUCUCAGAAGAGGCUCUCUGUCGGGAGUGUAGGAGCCCCUAAGGGACGCAGGCCCUAAGCUCCCAGGCAGGCGUCCCGGGUUGGGACUGAGUCAGAAGUAGACGGUGUCCGGCACGGCUUUGUAGGCCAGAGGCAGAGCGAUCCUAAAGAUCACUACAGACGGCCUGGAUGUAGGGGUGCUGACUGUUGGUGGGAGAAAGAAGAGGAAGAAGGAAAUGAGGGAACAGAAAGCGAGGCCGUGGUGAGUCCGAGGAGGGGCCCUGGAAGAACUCGCAGUGCGCCCUGUAAGAAGCCCUCCAGCGAGGCAACGGGAGAGGGUAAGGGACCGCCUCGGAGGGUGCAGGGCUGAUGUGGAGGAAAGGGGAGGCGGGGUGCACAGGUGUUGCACAGCACGGGAUAGGGACGGAAAGGAGAGCGUGUACUCACUUUAGCAUUAUCCCUGAUGUCACAUGAUAGUGUCUAUUAUGUGCUUGCUGAUAGCAAAUGUGAAAAUGAGAUGCAAAUGAAGGUACUCACCGGCUGUGUCACGGAGUGUGGUGAAACCAGCGACCGGGAGGAUCUGCAGGGUCUGUCGUCCACAGACCUGGGGGCUAUGGCACGGUCAGGAGGGACCAGCCGGAAGCCUUGGCGUCCCUGCGGGGGUUUCAGCACAGUGAAGGCUCACAGAGACUGCAACCUGUUGGGCGCAGGUGCUCAACAUACCAUACCCCACCCGGGACUAAGGACCACGCCAGCUUCCGCAAUGCGCUACGUCCCUCUUUAAAUUAGCCAACCCGUGCGCACUUCGUGCUCACUCCGUACUCUGUGGCAACUCCUGAUUGGCCACAGCUGGAUAUAGUAGCCGGAGCCUGCGUCCCAUUCCCGCCCUGCUUCCUCGUGGCAGCCCGUGAUUGGUCACGGCCAAAUAUAUAAACCAGAGCCCCCUAAAUAAACCAGCAGUUAACUGUCGCCCACAAGAGCGUCUCCUGUCUCAUUGGGGAGCUGCGCCGGUCAAUUGGUGGCCCGUACGGGGAGCGCGGAACGCUGAGACCCUCUCUCCCGUCUCCGACAGUACGGGGAACGAACCUCUCUCUCCGAUGGAACAGAGACGUUAACAGCUGUUGUUAUGCAGGUACUCCAGUUCGUACCAAUUCCAGUUAUGACGGACCCAGACGAGUUUCCUGUGAUCCAGCUCGGGCCAACUCUCCAAUUGGCUUUCAUAAAGGAAUGGGCAGGAACAGGGGCUCUGGCUACCAUGACUACACUUGCCGCAUUCGGCAGUCUACUUCUGCUCUGUCGGAUUCGCAGACAAAGGAAUAGGGACAAAGUAUCAAACAAGCAUUGCUGAUCAUGGAAUCUGGUCAAAGCCCGGCAGCAUGGCUUGCCAUGCUGUGACACAGGUGUGGAGCAAAGCAUCGCAGGGGGUGUCGUCCUUGGCCAGGAGACACCCCGGUCCCCAUGUCGGCGAGCAUGCGGGUUGGGCUCAUAAAACAAUACUCCCGCCCCCUCCAAAAGAGCACCAACGAGUAGUGAGGCACUGUCAUGACUGCAGCGUGACAAUUCACAAGGGGCACCGACCUCUGGAGACCCUGCAUCAGUUAUAAAGAAAGGGGGAGAUGUUGGGUGCAGGCGCUCAACAUACCAUACCCCACCCGGGACUAAGGACCAUGCCAGCUUCCGCAAUGCGCUACGUCCCUCCUUAAAUUAGCCAACCCGUGCGCACUUUGUGCUCACUCCGUACUCUGUGGCAACUCCUGAUUGGCCACAGCUGGAUAUAGUAGCCAGAGCCUACAUCCCAUUCCCGCCCUGCUUCCUCGUGGCAGCCUGUGAUUGGUCACGGCCAAAUAUAUAAACCAGAGCCCAUGUAAAUAAACCAGCAGUUAACUGUGCCCACAA